CCGGAACGGCGUCGGCGUCGGUGUCGGCGUCAUAUCCACCACCGUAACUCAGCUCGCUCGCCGUCAUCCACCGCUAGAUCUGGUGAAGCAGGAAAGCCAGCAGCUAGGCAAGCAAUAAUAAUAGAAGUGCUAUUACCAGGUUCAAGAACAGUAGCAUAUAUUUAAGUUCUGUUACUGGACCUUCUGCUCCGACCCGACUGAGAUGGAUCAGACCCGGCCAUCAGCAUCAGAGUUCACACUUCACACACUGAAACUCCAAAGGUGACACCGAUCUAUAUAAUGAGUGAAUGAUGAGUGGAGAUUAAUGGAUGAAUGAGGUGAUGAGUGACAGACAGUAUCGACAGUGUGAAUUGACUUAAUUAUCCAACAUGUUCCAUUUCUUUAAAGGAUUUCAUUGGAAAGGAUAUGAUGAAGAUUUUGAGAUGAUUGAAGAAUCUGGAAGGAAGUAAGGCAAAGGUGCUGUUGUAGGUGUAAAGAUGUGUCUUAUGGAUGACUUGAAUAAAAUUAAAGUUCCUAAGAAAUUUAAAACUGAUCUGAUAAUAAAGAAAGAAAAUCAUUAAUUUUGGUGUUUUGUUUUCUUACGUUGUAUACUUUAUUAGUAUUGGACUGCUUAUGUUUUUUGUUCUUGAUUUGUUCCAGACUAUGAUAUUUUUCGA